rnacentral:misc_RNA from 1 species
GAUGAAGAACGUAGCGAAAUGCGAUAAGUAGUGUGAAUUGCAGAAUUCAGUGAAUCAUCGAAUCUUUGAACGCACAUUGCGCCCUUUGGUAUUCCAAAGGGCAUGCCUGUUCGAGCGUCAUUUGUACCCUCAAGCUUUGCUGGGUGUUGGGCGUCUUGUCUCUAGCUUUGCUGGAGACUCGCCUUAAAGUAAUUGGCAGCCGGCCUACUGGUUUCGGAGCGCAGCACAAGUCGCACUCUCUAUCAGCAAAGGUCUAGCAUCCAUUAAGCCUUUUUUUCAACUUUUGACCUCGGAUCAGGUAGGGAUACCCGCUGAACUUAAGCAUAUCAAUAAGCGGAGGA